GCGGGGGUGCCCGAGCCAGGACAAAGGGGCCGGACAGGAUAUCCGGUGGCGUAGGCCUCCGUGGGUUCGAAUCCCACCCCCCGCA
rnacentral:tRNA from 1 species